rnacentral:rRNA from 1 species
UACGUAGGGUGCGAGCGUUAAUCGGAAUUACUGGGCGUAAAGGGCUCGUAGGUGGCCAACUAAGUCAGACGUGAAAUCCCUCAGCUUAACUGGGGAACUGCGUCUGAUACUGGAUGGCUUGAGUUUGGGAGAGGGAUGCGGAAUUCCAGGUGUAGCGGUGAAAUGCGUAGAUAUCUGGAGGAACACCGGUGGCGAAGGCGGCAUCCUGGACCAACACUGACACUGAUGAGCGAAAGCCAGGGGAGCAAACAGG